rnacentral:lncRNA from 10 species
GGCUCUGGGAGUGGCUGCCAGGUGAGUUGAACAGUCCGAUUUCCAGUGGUGUCCCGCACAGAUGGGACACGGCUUAGGAGGAAUCCUGGGCUGUGGGCAUUCCUUGGCCUGGUGGUCAGAUUUCUGGCACUUGUGGCAAGUUCCUGGGGGAGGAGGUUCUGGAGGAAUGCCUGGCCGCUGUGGUUCAGGCGUUUGGAAGUUCUUGUGUGCUGGAGAUGUGGCUGGGGUUUGUCUACAGUGGAGGUGUUGCCUCCCCAGAAACAACACCUGCAAACCCUGUGUUGUGAGGAUCCCUAAAAUCCCUCUGCACCUCGAUUGCUCCGAAAAUAUCAUCAUCAUGGAUUUACUCUUCAACUUUUCCCCAUCCCACCGCCAAGACUAAAUUCUGCUAGUGGUUGACACCCAUAAAAGCUGGCAUACUUCUACUAUUAUAUCAACUUCUGCCAUGUUCUUAGUAAAAUAUCUCCAUGGAAGGCCAAGGAAUCCAGUUUCCAACCACGAUUAACAGAUUGUCUCCUAUUUUUGGAGGAUACUGCUCAAGAGUAUUCAAAUUUGUGUGGCAAUCCUAUUUAAUGCAUAUUUAUUAGAAACUAGGAAUAAGAAAGCUAAUUCUUUCUGAGUUUUCAUGGAGAAAAGAUGUCCAAACCUGGGCUGAAUAAGAAGCUCUGGAUCCCCGAGAUUCCUUUCAUAUUCAAAGCUUUCAAGUUGCCUCUUUAUGUGAAGGUGGUAACUCAUUAUUUCUUCUCAAACCUAUAACUGCAUGCCACCGAGGAAGAAGAAAUGGAAGCAGUGAUAGGACAGGAUGAUGCUUGAAGCAGAAGGUACGGAAGAUCACAUGACUUUCAGCUGUUCUAUGUAAUAGGCCUGGACAGAGGUAUCAGGUUCAGUCUGCGCUUAUAGAACCUUAGGAAAAGACGCUAAGCAGAAUCAGGGAGCAUCUCUGAGAAACAGCCCCAGUUCAUGGCUGGCCUGGAUUUGUUUCCUCUUGAAUUUCCAUUGGCAGAAUCUGCAGCUCUCCUCACUGAACACCUAACUAUUUUUGUCUGGAGAGGAGGAAGAGCAUCCACGAAACUGUCUGCACCCUGAAUACAGCCUGUAAAAUUACCCUGUCCUGGCCAACGUAAGAGGGGCAAUCAGCAAGUGGUCAUGAUUAUCAACAAGAAAUAAACAAUGAAUAGAUUAGAGCCUACAAUACUAAGCAGUCUUACUGCAAAUACACUGCACUUUGCCACUCUAAGAUGGCACACAUUAAACUUUCCAUUGUGGAUGAAUUUACAUCUACAGCUUUAAAGGAAGAGUCUGGAGAAGCAUAGCAGCUUCUGGGGCCUCUCCUCU